CCAAAAGGUGGCGUGCAUUGUCCACUCUGUAAAAUCCGAUUGUUUUUAAGGCUCAACCUUAGUUUUGAGUUAAUUUUCAUCAUUAGUCUUAUUAAUUAUGUUCUUAAUCACUAUUUAAUUUUUAUUCUUAUAUUCCCCGCUAACGUGGCCAAGUUUCAACGGAAUAAACCGAAAUGAAAGGAUAAUUCAGCCUGUAGAAACACAAGACAAGGACUCAAGACGGUGAUGGGCUAACAUUAUCAACCUAUUUAGAUUUACUUGCAGUUGCAGGCCUUGCAAAAAGAGCUGGCAAUUUCAAUUUGGCCCACCAUUUAAACUCUUCAUUUAGUAGCAGAUUCUGGAAUGGUUAAAGACUAAACCUUAAAAUCGAUAAAAUGUUGAUUGUUUUAACAUGUUAAAUUAUGAUGUUACUUGGUUUUGUAAAGUCAAUCACCAGCAAAACAGUUUACCUCAGUUAACUUGAAGAUUAACAGCAUUUUUUAGCUGUAAAUGUGUUUUUUUACCUCAUGCAUUUGAAUGACAUUGGAUGAGGUGAAAAAAAAUGACUCUGUGAUUGUUCCUAAUUGGCAACUGAAAUUGUAGUCUUUUUUUGUAGCUGUUGCUGUUGUUGAUUUCAUUGUAAUCAUCAAGUCAGAGCUCGUCAUUGUACACAAACACAAAUGAAUAUAAAAAAAAGUUAGCCAAAUGAGAA